GACGAACGCUGGCGGCGUGCUUAACACAUGCAAGUCGAACGGAAAGGCCCUGCUUUUGUGGGGUGCUCGAGUGGCGAACGGGUGAGUAACACGUGAGUAACCUGCCCUUGACUUUGGGAUAACUUCAGGAAACUGGGGCUAAUACCGGAUAGGAGCUCCUGCUGCAUGGUGGGGGUUGGAAAGUUUCGGCGGUUGGGGAUGGACUCGCGGCUUAUCAGCUUGUUGGUGGGGUAGUUGCUUACCAAGGCUUUGACGGGUAGGCGGCCUGAGAGGGUGACCGGCCACAUUGGGACUGAGAUACGGCCCAGACUCCUACGGGAGGCAGCAGUGGGGAAUAUUGCACAGUGGGCGGAAGCCUGAUGCAGCAACGCCGCGUGCGGGAUGACGGCCUUCGGGUUGUAAACCGCUUUCGCCUGUGACGAAGCGUGAGUGACGGUAAUGGGUAAAGAAGCACCGGCUAACUACGUG
rnacentral:rRNA from 1 species